rnacentral:rRNA from 1 species
AACGAACGCUUGCGGCAGGCUUAACACAUGCAAGUCGAGCGCCCCGCAAGGGGAGCGGCAGACGGGCGAGUAACGCGUGGGAAUCUACCCAUCUCUACGGAAUAACCCAUGGAAACGUGUGCUAAUACCGUACACGUCCUUCGGGAGAAAGAUUUAGCGGAGAUGGAUGAGCCCGCGUUGGAUGAGCUGGUUGGUGGCGUAAAGGCCUACCAAGGCGACGAUCCAUAGCUGGUCUGAGAGGAUGAUCAGCCACACUGGGACUGAGACACGGCCCAGACUCCUACGAGAGGCAGCAGUGGGGAAUAUUGGACAAUGGGCGCAAGCCUGCUCCAGCCAUGCCGCGUGAGUGAUGAAGGCCCUAGGGUUGUAAAGCUCUUUCACCGGUGAAGAUAAUGACGGUAACCGGAGAAGAAGCCCCGGCUAACUUCGUGCCAGCCGCCGCCGUAAUAC